AAAAAACGUUGAUGGGCUUUUAAACGUUGGUUAUUUUUUAAAUUGAGGAAAGCUUAAAUUCCUCAGACAGGGGACCGUUGCCUUUGUUUCUUCCCCUUAAUUCCUCAGCAAUUGCCCAUCACUAUCAAAGAAAUUAUUUCAUAUGGAAAUUUUAUGUGAAUUCCAAGAGAAAAAGGAACGGAAAAAAAAUGACAGGUGGCAUUAAAUGGAGGUUGCAUGUUGGUUGUUUGAUCAAAUGCGCAAGAGAAAUCUAGGGGAGUUCGUUGACUUCAUGAUGGCUCAAAAUUUAAUUGUUUGAGGUUGCAUAUUGCCUGUUUUUUCCCCCUUCCGAUAUAUCGGGAUUGGUUAAGCCAGAUGUGGGAUCCGGAAGCCCAUUCUGCACUGCAAAGAACAUCUUGCAACUUGAAGAUCUUGUUGCAAUGUCCACACACAUGAUACACAAUCCUAGAAUGCAUCAAUGAUCGAUAGAUGGCUAAUUUCUCGAUGAACUGCAGUUCCAAUCAUGUGCUUUUAUGAAGAAUCCUUCUGUUGUGGCUGACUAUUUUGGACCUUACUGACAGAAUAUGUAACGCAAUACAUCUACCGAACACUUGGAUACUCCAGUACUUGAUAGAAGAGCAUGUAACAAAGGGAUCUUCGGACAAGCCACAACCUCCUACCAAUGCUUCCAAACUGUCACUGAAAUGCAACAACACAUAUUUGAUUUAUGAAUCAUUUAAUGUGUAAUUCGAGAAGUUUAUUUGUGUUGUGAUGUGAUUGAAGGAUGUAGCAACGGAUUAUACUGAGAAGAUUGAAGGCUCUGGAGAAAAUUGAAAACUUUGAGAUGAAUGUAAUGAUCAUUACUUUUUU